AGUGUCGUCUGCUGCUUUCGUUCGUUUACAAGCGGAGACUAAAAUUUCCAAAGGAGACUAUAAUUUUCAACAGUAGACUAAGAUUUCAAAGAAAAACGGAAUGAUUGACAACUAUUGAUCACUUUUUGGACGUGGUCACGUGGAAGAUACACGAAAAUAAAAUUACAAAAAUGUGGUCAUCGCCAUGUCAACUUUGGUGUCGCAGCUUUCCAUUCUCUCCAUGCUGUUUGGCGGGUUUGAGGCCUGAGCCAGCCAUCGUAACAGCAAAGUUUUUCUUGUGCUGGACUUCCAGUCAUGUGAUUUGAUUGUUAACCUCCUGCCAUCAUCAACAAUCACAGUAUCAUCGCUCAGAUAAACAGUAUCCCAUUGGAGAAACUACCGAUGCCGUCCGAGUUAAGGAUCUCUUCAAUUCCUCUUCCUUUAAAUGCCCUCGUGUACGCCCGUGUACGAAUGUGGGUGUAUUCACGAGGACACCCUUUACCCUAUCCAUCCUGGUGGAUUCAACUUUGGAUGGAGCACUUGUGGAUGCCUGGCUGUGGAUUUCCAAGGCAUAAAGGUAGGACAAAUUCAUCUCUAUUCUUCCUUUUGGACAAUUUGGUGGCGUUAAUUUUAAAUCGUUAUGUAGUACGGAGUAGGAUUAUUCCUGGGCCAUGCAGUUGGCUGAAACUUUUUAUCUUGUUGUUUUUGUUUUUCUCAGUCAGGGUUUAUUAGAUCACUCAUUUUUGAACGACUGCAGAUCAGGCCUGUUUUUGUACAUCACAGCUGUGUCUGUGAGUAAACAAUCCAAUUCAUUUGAACUUGAAACACUUGAAGCAAAGUGCAACUUGAACAAUUUUUCAACCAAGAAGGGUUUUGCCGCCACACCGGCACCUCCUGGUACGGUAGUAUUUUAGUUCCGGUUCACAAAUCUUAAAACGCCCUCUAUUUCGGCUAUGACGAAACAGAGGAAUAAAGCAACCACCUGUUGAACUUGACCGAGUGCCGGGCACAACCGGGGGGUGGGUGGGAGAGAGAAACCCUCCGUUUUCACGCGUGUGAUUUCGGUAAACGGAGAAGGACACGACUUGAAACGAAAGUCAAAGUAAUUUAAAUGGUAACACGUGACGUGUAAGUAAGACGUAAGAUCUUUCUCCGCCGUUUCCAGGGCAUCAAUUAUAUCUCUCUAAACCCGAAAAAGGUCCCGAAACGGACCCAACAAUUUUAAGUUUGUUUUGAAAUCAUAAUUAUUGGGGGAUCCCAGUAAUUAAGAUUUCUUUCACGGUCAAAAACGAAACUCCGAAAGAAAAAGCUCAGCAACUGUUUAUGGCUGAAAAUGAGUCUUAUUAUUUGUUUUGUGCGUAAUUGUGUAGAGAUUAGCUCAAUAAUGAUUAUCUCAAGGGAAAAGAAGAAAAAGUCCCGAUUCCCGGAUUGCUGUUUAUCCCUAAAACAUUCAAAGUAGCUCGAGUCUAUAAUAUCCCAGUCAAUGACAACUCUCUGGCGUUUCAAAUUUCUGUUUCUGAAUGGCGUACGUGAAAAAACACACGUCUGCGUAUCAUUUUGUCAUCAAUUCAUUCCCGAUCUAACUAAAAAGGCAAUCGAAUAUACACCCGAAAUAAAAUUCUAGCUCCGGUCCUUGUAUAGAAAUGAUGUUGAUACAACUAUUGUUUCGACGUCAUUUUUAUUUCAAAAGGUUGAUAUUGUUAUUAACUCAUUCCAUUUCCUGAUAUAUUUUAUCGGGUGCUAUCGUCAAGUGAGUCUGACGGCUGCCAGUGGCAGAGAGGGAAACGAAAAAAGUUCGAGGGAUGAAAAGAAUUUUUGGUUUUCGUUUCUCUUUUUUCCUCUGAAAUGACCAAAUAAAGACUUGAAUAAUACACCCUCUCUCUCUGGUGUGUGUGUGUAUCAUCCCCUUCUUUUUCGGUUUGACCCACACACACACACGCUCUUCUUUUUCGUUUUUUGAUUGCAUUCGAAAUUUUCACCCCCUAAUCACGCUGCUGGCCUCGGAUGCCUUCGUGAUAGUAUCAUCGGCGUCUUCGAUCUGAUGAAAAUACAAUCCCGCGGCAUUAUUCUUCUUCUCUCCCCCCUUUUCUGUCGUAUACUGUUCACCCACCACCACCACCAACCACCAGGUAUAUUUUUAUAAGACUAUAGUAUCAUCUAGUCAGUUGGAUUCGUUCUUUUUGUUUUAUUUUUAACCCCCUUCGGUCUAUGGAAAUUUUUCUUUCCCCUUUAACUUGAACACGCGUGCACGCUCCGGCCUCCUUGACACAUUUCUUUUUCGUUUCACCCCACCACCCCGUUUUAAUCAAAUGGAAAUGGAAUCAUUGGGUCCAUGUGUUUUAAUAUGUAAAUUUUUCAUCCCCCGGUAAUGAGGGAAGGUGAGAGGGUUAACAUUGAAUAUUAAAAUAACACAAAUGAAAUGAGUUUCUCCGGUUGAGAGAAGAAGAAGAAUCAAGAGGGCGUGUCUUGGUGCCCUUCAAAAAAUAAAAACAAAAAAUAAAAAAAUAAAAGAGGAACGAAAAGGAGCGGCCGAUCGGUGCGUGUCUCACACGAGGCACACGUGUUGGCACUUAACUCCUUCGUCGUGCAAGGAGAGAGAGAGAAAUCCUUCCGCAUCGUUCCGGCGCUGUGUGAUGAGAUGGGAAAUCCCCAACAAGAAAACGAAAUGUUUUUCGCUCAAUUUCAACACCAGGUGACACCAAAGUCUUGGACGUUUUCAAAAAAUGUUCCAGGGAGAAGAAGAAGAAGAAGGCGAGUCCCACACGAUAAGAACCUUUUUGUUUCCUCUCUCUCUCUCUCUUCAUUCCAAAAUGGAGAAAGAAAUUUGACCUAAUUUUCUGGCGUGUUUUUUCUUUCACCAUGACGCGCCUGCUGGGGGCCGGUCAUGGUGCAAGGGGGGGGGCGGCUAUAUGGUCGUUUAAGCAGGAGAAGUUAGACACAAAAAAUAUUCCUGGACAAGUUCACAGAUGAUGAAAUAACCUGGUCAACCUGUGAAAUCUAAAACUACCGGGAAAAGAAAAGAGAAAAGAAACGGAAAAUGGCGAUGAAAUUGAUGACGACACCCAAAAAAUUUGAACGACCCCAUCAGCCAUCAACCGGAUGGGAAAUUGAAAUCAAGGUAAACGGAUCAUCAUCAUAUAAGAAUAUGCCCGUUAUCCGAUGCACCAUGCACGCGAAAUGUAAUGUGUCCCCACGACGUCACCCGUCGCCAGGCAUCGCCGCCGCCGGAUACUCCCGAUACCUUGGCCGUCGUCGGUGGCGGCGGCGACCGUUCAAUUUCAGCCCCAUCAGCCAUCAGUCCCGAGCCAAUAAGACCGGGGGCCGGAAGGAGGGCCCUUCCGGGCGGUUCCGAAGUCCGGAUCAUAUCCACCACAGCAGCCGGGUCGACACAUAUCUCUUGCGCAACAGGGAAGACAACGCACACAGCACAAUUCAGAAUUCAAAACAAACCGAACAAAAUGUUUUGUUUCAAAUCGAAAAAUUGAGGUCACCAUGACCGUCUGGAUGUGGCAAACGACAAAAACAAAAAUCAAAAAUCGAUGAGUUUUUUGUUUUUUUGUUUUAUUGA